rnacentral:rRNA from 1 species
UAAUACGUAGGGGGCAAGCGUUGUCCGGAAUCAUUGGGCGUAAAGAGCGUGUAGGCGGUCCGAUUAGUCGGCUGUGAAAGUCCAGGGCUCAACCCUGGGAUGCCGGUCGAUACUGUCGGACUAGAGUCCGGAAGAGGCAAGUGGAAUUCCCGGUGUAGCGGUGAAAUGCGCAGAUAUCGGGAGGAACACCAAUGGCGAAGGCAGCUUGCUGGGACGGUACUGACGCUGAGACGCGAAAGCGUGGGGAGCAAACAGGAUUAGAUACCCCGGUAGUCCUAGCCGUAAACGAUGGACACUAGGUGUUGGUGGUAUCAACCCCGCCAGUGCCGAAGCUAACGCAUUAAGUGUCCCGCCUGGGGAGUACGGCCGCAAGGCUA